GAUGAAGAACGCAUCGAAACGCGAUAGUUAAUGUGAAUUGCAGAAUUCAGUGAAUCAUCGAGUCUUUGAACGCACAUUGCGCCCAUUGGUAUUCCGUUGGGCAUGUCUGUUUGAGCGUCAUUACAACAGUUCAGCGUAAGCUGGUUAUGAGUUCUGUUUUUUUAAACAAAAAACAGGCUUUAAAAUGUAUGUUCUGCAGGUCGCUUUGCUAAACCCUAAACAUUAAAUACUGUUCUAGUGAAGCAUUUGCGACUCUGCCUGAAAAAAAACUUUUGUUAAAGUUUGACCUCAGAUCAGACAAGGAUACCCGCUGAACUUAAGCAUAUCAAUAAGCGGAGGA
rnacentral:misc_RNA from 1 species